UACGUAGGGUGCAAGCGUUGUCCGGAAUUAUUGGGCGUAAAGAGCUCGUAGGCGGUUUGUCGCGUCGGUUGUGAAAGCCCACAGCUUAACUGUGGGUCUGCAUCCGAUACGGGCAGACUAGAGGCAGGUAGGGGAGCAUGGAAUUCCCGGUGUAGCGGUGAAAUGCGCAGAUAUCGGGAGGAACACCGGUGGCGAAGGCGGUGCUCUGGGCCUGUACUGACGCUGAGGAGCGAAAGCGUGGGGAGCAAACAGG
rnacentral:rRNA from 1 species